rnacentral:rRNA from 1 species
GUGAACGCUGGCGGUAGGCCUAACACAUGCAAGUCGCACGGCAGCACAGUAAGAGCUUGCCCUUACGGGUGGCGAGUGGCGGACGGGUGAGGAAUACCUCGGAAUCUACUUUUUCGUGGGGGAUAACGUAGGGAAACUUACGCUAAUACCGCAUACGACCUACGGGUGAAAGCAGGGGAUCUUCGGACCUUGCGCGAUUGAAUGAGCCGAUGUCGGAUUAGCUAGUUGGCGGGGUAAAGGCCCACCAAGGCGACGAUCCGUAGCUGGUCUGAGAGGAUGAUCAGCCACACUGGAACUGAGACACGGUCCAGACUCCUACGGGAGGCAGCAGUGGGGAAUAUUGGACAAUGGGCGCAAGCCUGAUCCAGCCAUACCGCGUGGGUGAAGAAGGCCUUCGGGUUGUAAAGCCCUUUUGUUGGGAAAGAAAAGCAGCAGGUUAAUACCCCGCUGUUCUGACGGUACCCAAAGAAUAAGCACCGGCUAACUUCGUG